UACGUAGGGUGCAAGCGUUGUCCGGAAUUAUUGGGCGUAAAGGGCUCGUAGGCGGUCCAUCGCGUCGGGAGUGAAAAGCUGGGGCUCAACCCCAGUCCUGCUUCCGAUACGGGUGGACUAGAGGUAUGCAGGGGAGAACGGAAUUCCUGGUGUAGCGGUGAAAUGCGCAGAUAUCAGGAGGAACACCGGUGGCGAAGGCGGUUCUCUGGGCAUUACCUGACGCUGAGGAGCGAAAAUGUGGGGAGCGAACAGG
rnacentral:rRNA from 1 species